rnacentral:rRNA from 1 species
AGAGUUUGAUCAUGGCUCAGGAUGAACGCUAGCUACAGGCUUAACACAUGCAAGUCGAGGGGAAACGAUAUUGGAAGCUUGCUUCCGAUAGGCGUCGACCGGCGUACGGGUGAGUAACGCGUAUCCAACCUGCCCACCACUUGGGGAUAACCUUGCGAAAGUAAGACUAAUACAAGAUGUUAUCAUGAGUAAGCAUUUUCGCAUGAUUAAAGGUUUACCGGUGUAAGAUGGGGAUGCGUUCCAUUAGAUAGUAGGCGGGGUAACGGCCCACCUAGUCUUCGAUGGAUAGGGGUUCUGAGAGGAAGGUCCCCCACAUUGGAACUGAGACACGGUCCAAACUCCUACGGGAGGCAGCA